GGCUGAAUAGCUCAGUUGGUAGAGCACUGGUACGGUGUUUCAGAGGUCGCCGGUUCAAAUCCUGCUUCAGUCA